AUUGAACGCUGGCGGCAGGCCUAACACAUGCAAGUCGAGCGGAUGAAGGGAGCUUGCUCCUGGAUUCAGCGGCGGACGGGUGAGUAAUGCCUAGGAAUCUGCCUGGUAGUGGGGGAUAACGUCCGGAAACGGGUGCUAAUACCGCGUACGUCCUGAGGGAGAAAGUGGGGGAUCUUCGGACCUCACGCUAUCAGAUGAGCCUAGGUCGGAUUAGCUAGUUGGUGGGGUAAAGGCCUACCAAGGCGACGAUCCGUAACUGGUCUGAGAGGAUGAUCAGUCACACUGGAACUGAGACACGGUCCAGACUCCUACGGGAGGCAGCAGUGGGGAAUAUUGGACAAUGGGCGAAAGCCUGAUCCAGCCAUGCCGCGUGUGUGAAGAAGGUCUUCGGAUUGUAAAGCACUUUAAGUUGGGAGGAAGGGCAGUAAGUUAAUACCUUGCUGUUUUGACGUUACCAACAGAAUAAGCACCGGCUAACUUCGUG
rnacentral:rRNA from 1 species